AUACGUAGGGGGCGAGCGUUGUCCGGAAUGAUUGGGCGUAAAGGGCGCGUAGGCGGCGCGGUAAGUCUGGAGUGAAAGUCCUGCUUUCAAGGUGGGAAUUGCUUUGGAUACUGCCGCGCUUGAGUGCAGGAGAGGUUAUCGGAAUUCCCGGUGUAGCGGUGAAAUGCGUAGAGAUCGGGAGGAACACCAGUGGCGAAGGCGGGUAACUGGACUGCAACUGACGCUGAGGCGCGAAAGUGUGGGGAGCAAACAGGAUUAGAUACCCUGGUAGUCCACACUGUAAACGAUGAAUGCUAGGUGUAGGGGGUAUCGACCCCUUCUGUGCCGCAGUCAACACAAUAAGCAUUCCGCCUGGGGAGUACGGCCGCAAGGUUGAAACUCAAAGGAAUUGGCGGGG
rnacentral:rRNA from 1 species